CCUACGGACGCAGCAGUGGGGGAUAUUGCACAAUGGGGGGAACCCUGAUGCAGCGACGCCGCGUGGGUGAAGGAGCGUUUCGGCGCGUAAAGCCCUAUCGGCAGGGAAGAAGGAGGACGGUACCUGGCUAAGAAGCCCCGGCUAACUACGUGCCAGCAGCCGCGGUAAUACGUAGGGGGCAAGCGUUAUCCGGAUUUACUGGGUGUAAAGGGAGCGUAGACGGCAGCGCAAGUCUGAAGUGAAAUCCCAUGGCUUAACCAUGGAACUGCUUUGGAAACUGUGCAGCUGGAGUGCAGGAGAGGUAA
rnacentral:rRNA from 1 species